AGUGAACGCUGGCGGUAGGCCUAACACAUGCAAGUCGAACGGCAGCACAGUAAGAGCUUGCUCUUACGGGUGGCGAGUGGCGGACGGGUGAGGAAUACAUCGGAAUCUACUUUUUCGUGGGGGAUAACGUAGGGAAACUUACGCUAAUACCGCAUACGACCUACGGGUGAAAGCAGGGGAUCUUCGGACCUUGCGCGAUUGAAUGAGCCGAUGUCGGAUUAGCUAGUUGGCGGGGUAAAGGCCCACCAAGGCGACGAUCCGUAGCUGGUCUGAGAGGAUGAUCAAGCAAAACGGGACCUGGGCACGGUCCAGACUCCUACGGGGAGCAGCAGUGGGGAAUAUUUGACAAUGGGCGCAAGCCUUAUCCAAGCAUACCGCGUGGGUUAAGAAGGCCUUCCGGUUGUAAAGCCCUUUUUUUGGGAAAGAAAAACAACAAGUUAAAACCCCGGUUUUCUGGCGGGACCCAAAAGAUAAAGAACGGCUAACUUUGUU
rnacentral:rRNA from 1 species